rnacentral:rRNA from 1 species
UACGUAGGGGGCAAGCGUUGUCCGGAAUCAUUGGGCGUAAAGCGAGCGUAGGCGGCCCGAUAAGUCUGCUGUGAAAGUCCAGGGCUCAACCCUGGAAUGCCGGUGGAUACUGUCGGGCUCGAAUCCGGAAGAGGUGAGUGGAAUUCCUGGUGUAGCGGUGAAAUGCGCAGAUAUCAGGAGGAACACCAAUGGCGAAGGCAGCUCACUGGGACGGUAUUGACGCUGAGACGCGAAAGCGUGGGGAGCAAACAGG